GACGAACGCUGGCUGCGUGCUUAACACAUGCAAGUCGAACGCUGAAGCCUGGUGCUUGCACCGGGUGGAUGAGUGGCGAACGGGUGAGUAACACGUGAGUAACCUGCCCCUGACUUCGGGAUAAGCCCGGGAAACUGGGUCUAAUACCGGAUACGACUGCCGGACGCAUGUCUGGUGGUGGAAAGUUUUUUCGGUUGGGGAUGGGCUCGCGGCCUAUCAGUUUGUUGGUGAGGUAAUGGCUCACCAAGACGACGACGGGUAGCCGGCCUGAGAGGGCGACCGGCCACACUGGGACUGAGACACGGCCCAGACUCCUACGGGAGGCAGCAGUGGGGAAUAUUGCACAAUGGGGGAAACCCUGAUGCAGCGACGCAGCGUGCGGGAUGACGGCCUUCGGGUUGUAAACCGCUUUCAGCAGGGAAGAAGCGCAAGUGACGGUACCUGCAGAAGAAGUACCGGCUAACUACGUGCCAGCAGCCGCGGUAAUACGUAGGGUACGAGCGUUGUCCGGAAUUAUUGGGCGUAAAGAGCUCGUAGGUGGUUGGUCACGUCUGCUGUGGAAACGCAACGCUUAACGUUGCGCGUGCAGUGGGUACGGGCUGACUAGAGUGCAGUAGGGGAGUCUGGAAUUCCUGGUGUAGCGGUGGAAUGCGCAGAUAUCAGGAGGAACACCGGUGGCGAAGGCGGGACUCUGGGCUGUAACUGACACUGAGGAGCGAAAGCAUGGGGAGCGAACAGGAUUAGAUACCCUGGUAGUCCAUGCCGUAAACGUUGGGCACUAGGUGUGGGGGGCAUUCCACGUUCUCCGCGCCGUAGCUAACGCAUUAAGUGCCCCGCCUGGGGAGUACGGUCGCAAGGCUAAAACUCAAAGGAAUUGACGGGGGCCCGCACAAGCGGCGGAGCAUGCGGAUUAAUUCGAUGCAACGCGAAGAACCUUACCAAGGCUUGACAUACACCGGACCGUCCUGGAAACAGGUCUUCUUCUUUGAAGCUGGUGUACAGGUGGUGCAUGGUUGUCGUCAGCUCGUGUCGUGAGAUGUUGGGUUAAGUCCCGCAACGAGCGCAACCCUCGUUCUAUGUUGCCAGCACGUGAUGGUGGGAACUCAUAGGAGACUGCCGGGGUCAACUCGGAGGAAGGUGGGGAUGACGUCAAAUCAUCAUGCCCUUUAUGUCUUGGGCUUCACGCAUGCUACAAUGGCUGGUACAGAGAGAGGCGAACCCGUGAGGGCAAGCGAAUCCCUUAAAGCCAGUCUCAGUUCGGAUCGUAGUCUGCAAUUCGACUACGUGAAGUCGGAGUCGCUAGUAAUCGCAGAUCAGCAACGCUGCGGUGAAUACGUUCCCGGGCCU
rnacentral:rRNA from 1 species